ensembl:lncRNA
CGGGGCCAGGCCCCCUCCCUCCAGGCACCCGGCCGCCCCUCCGUGCUGGCUUCUCGUUCCCGGGGAGGCCGCCACCUCCUCCCUCUCAUUUUAAGCCCUUAAAUGGGCUUCAGCUUUUCUCUGCGCAUGACUGUGAAGGUGAGAAACCUGUUGCCCAUCUCUUUUCUCCGACAUCAACGUCAUUCAUGGAUCUUCUCACCCGUCUAAUCUGCUACCGGGAAAACUGGUUGUCGGGGUAACCCAGGCACGAGGGAACCCUGAAAGAUGGGUUCUCAACCUUUCUUAUCAGGAGAGGCUGUAGCCUCUCACCCCGGUCCACACCAGGCCUGCUUGCUGGAAGGCUCUCACUGCCCCUGCAACCCCCGCUUGGACCCUGAUCAGGCAGGAGACUGGCAGCAUUUAGGUGCCAGCCUAUUUCGAGCUAAUGUAGUGAGAGGUGCGGGAUGUUAGCGUUCCGUGGGGCAUAGUUCUUGGGUGCGUGGGCCAGAGUAAAAUGAGCGACCAUGGGCCAUGAAGUUUCUUAUUUCCUAGUCUUUGCAUUUGUGAUCUGGCUUUCCCUAAUUCUCUGUUGUGGGAGAGGCUGUCACUGGCCCUUAGGAUGCUUUUGUGUAAAUUAUAAGGAAGACCCCCUGUCCUCAAGACACUUGGUAUUCAGCUCCUGGAAAAUCGACAAGAAAUAAGUAUGAUGAUGCCAGGUGCGGUGAUGCACACCUGUAAUGUAAUCCCAGCACCCAGGAGGCUGAGGCAGGAGGAUCACCACAAGUUUGUGGCCAGCCUGGGCUACAUAGUGGGUUAAAGGGCAGCCUGUUCAAGAUACGGUGAGACCUUGUCUCUAAAAGAAAAAAAAAGUAUAAUGAGUGGAUAGGCCUACUGGAGGGCUCCUCAGCCAAGCAAGCUCUGCAUACCCUUUGUGCAGGGGCCUUUAAAGAUCCUUUCCUCUCCCAACGUUUUUUCCCACUAAAAGACAGGAGAUAGGGCCUGGGAUUUAGCUCAGUGGUUCUGGCGCUCUGCCUCCCAAGCUCAAGGACCCAAGUUCGAUCCCCACUACAAAAAAACCAAAAAAGCAAAAAACUCCAGGAGAUAAAGAAAGAAAACAUUUGCUGCAGGUUCUCCAAGAGAUGACCCGGGGUGGGGUGUCCCCAGGCAGGUCUGGGGCCCCAUGAGGAGCUUGGGCCACAAUGCUUGGGGUGUUUUUGUUUUUGUUUUUUAUCAGGGAUUAAACUCAGGAUCUCCUGCUUGCCUGGCAGGCCCUGUGCCGCUGAGCUACAUCCCCGGCCCUACCCAGGUUUGGAUCCUUGUGGUGUUGUCUAGUCUAUCACUGGAGGGAAGUGACAUAAUGCCUCUAGUUCUUCAUCUGUCAGCCUGCACAGACUGGGUUUGAGGAGGAGAAUGGAGACUGCUGUGGCCCUUUGUGCUUUAUCUGACCCACUCCCAACUGGAAUUGCACACCAGCUGAGGCACUGGGACCCCAGCACUGGCACUGAGCCAGACAGGGACUUGUGCUCUAUGGGAAAUACUGUUCUGGGUCAGCAUUUUGCUUCUGCCCAGGCUGUGUGGCCAGCCAGGGUCUUCCUGAAUCCGUUUCCUCUGUAGAUGGGUCCACUGCAGUUAUGGGAGCCCCACACAAGAAGUUCUGAGGGUGCCUGGGCUCUGGAGGGGUGUUCUGUGAGGGUGGCUGCAGUGGCACUUUCUCCUGCAGGUCCACGCCGGGCUUGUGCAUCACAAGCAUCGUUAGGAGGUGUUCUCUGCCAACUCUCUGAUGUGGACCUUUCUUAGCCGGGCCUCAGUUUCUCCAUGUCGUCAGCCAUUGCAUCAGUCACAGUGACCUUUUCAAACAUCCUGAGCUCGUGAGUAGGGACAGAAAGUGACGUGGAGGUUGGGUCGAGGCUUGACCUGCUGCCUGGCUGCUCCUCCAGUCACGGAGCAGUUAAAUGUGGAUGACUUCUCUUGGAAGUGGGGAUGAAGCCUGACCCGGAAAAGCCUACCUGCUUGGAGCCCCGAAGGUGGAGCCUUUUCCUGAAGGCCCCCAAAGCCUGGGUGUCUCCUGGGGUCGUCCUCCUGCACACCCUGCUGGGGUCUGGGAUGGGAAGGAGGGCG